rnacentral:rRNA from 1 species
UACGUAGGGUGCGAGCGUUAAUCGGAAUUACUGGGCGUAAAGCGUGCGCAGGCGGCUUUGCAAGACAGAUGUGAAAUCCCCGGGCUUAACCUGGGAACUGCAUUUGUGACUGCAAGGCUAGAGUGCGGCAGAGGGGGAUGGAAUUCCGCGUGUAGCAGUGAAAUGCGUAGAGAUGUGGAGGAACACCGAUGGCGAAGGCAGCCCCCUGGGCUGAGAUUGACGCUCAGGCACGAAAGCGUGGGGAGCAAACAGG